GACGAACGUUGGCGGCGUGCUUAAUACAUGCAAGUCAACUGAAGCAGAGGUAGUAAUAUCUCUGUGGAGGUGGCGCACGGGUGAGUAACACGUAGGUAAUCUGCCUUCAAGUCUGACAUAACCCCGAGAAAUCGGGGCUAAUAGCAGAUGAUGCAGCGGCUUGACAUCAAGACAGUUGUUAAAGCUUCGGCGCCUGAAGAUGAGCCUGCGCUGAUUAGCUAGUUGGCGGAGUAACAGCCCACCAAGGCUACGAUCAGUAGCUGGUCUGAGAGGAUGAUCAGCCACACUGGAACUGG
rnacentral:rRNA from 1 species